GGUUCAUUUCCGUACGACUUUCUGAACAGUACACAACAUAUUUUUUCUGUGUUUGCUUUUUAUAAUAUUAAAAAUUUAUUAGUGCAAAACCCGAAAUUUUUGUUAAUUCUUAUUUUUUAACAAUCCAUAAUGUUGUUGGUCCAAGUGCUGUCAAACUGUCAAUAUAUUCGAGACGUGCCUUUGCCGCAGCCGAUUUUAUUUGAAGUAAAGAAUAACGCAACAAUAUUGGAGCUCCGGCAAAAGUUGGAGCCCAUAAUCGCUGUGCCAUUGCGCCAGAUCAAUCUGCGAAAAUCUGGCAAGACAAUAAACAAUAAUAAACGGAUUUUGGAUGUCUUGGGUGCAAGGACUUCGGAAGAUUUGGAAUUUGACGCGGAACUAUCUAUUUUGAGCGGAAAUUCAUUCUUCGCCCCCUUAAAAUUUUACGGGCAGGCAUAUAAAAACGGACAACCGCUUAACCACCAAUUCUACAUGCCUCAGCAAUAAGUGAGCAAGCGCAUUCCUAGCUAUUCCAGAGCGAACAUCAGCGGGACCUUGAGGUUGGGUCAUCAGGACACUCUUGAAAUAGCCCAGGGAUCCUGUGUAAUACCGAUGUUCGAAGGCCAAUGACCCACGUCCUAUCAAUACCAGUAUAUUAUUUGACAAUAUCCCGUCAAACAGGGCAUCUGUGUCUUGGGCUGUGCUGGGUGAUAAAAUCGGCCCGAAUUCCUUUAUUUACUGAAAGUUACGAUCCCCAGAUCGCUUAUAGCUAGCCAAUGCUUUGGAGUAUUGAUAACAUGGCCCUUAGCAAAUUGCCCAAUUCGUUGACCUGUACGGCUUUGCAAAAGACUCCCCUUAAGAGCGCACCAGAAGUCUGAAGUACCCGGAAAGAAUGAUUUUUCGUUCAAAAAGUCAAAGUCAAAAAAAAUGUGUAAGUACAUCACUGAUCACAGUACAUCGGAAGUAGGCGAAAAAACAAAUAUGAUACGCGUCAAAAAAUGGGACAAUCUUUUAUUAGAAUCGGAAAAGCUGUUUUUUCGAUGAAACCGAGGAAUACGGGAAAGAAUCCAUCGACCACCACCAACAGAGAUGGUCGACUUCAUGUCCGAACAGAAAAAUUAUUAUUUUAAUUCAAGAGAAAUCAAGUCAGUGGUCUGAAAUGGUGAAGAAAUGUCUUUGAAUGAGCUGAACAAGGAAAUGCACUCCAAUGACAAAUAUCUA